rnacentral:rRNA from 1 species
CCAGCAGCCGCGGUAAUACGUAGGGUGCGAGCGUUAAUCGGAAUUACUGGGCGUAAAGCGUGCGCAGGCGGUUUUGUAAGUCAGAUGUGAAAUCCCCGGGCUCAACCUGGGAACUGCAUUUGAGACUGCAAGGCUAGAGUGUGGCAGAGGGGGGUAGAAUUCCACGUGUAGCAGUGAAAUGCGUAGAGAUGUGGAGGAAUACCGAUGGCGAAGGCAGCCCCCUGGGCCAAUACUGACGCUCAUGCACGAAAGCGUGGGGAGCAAACAGGAUUAGAUACCCUGGUAGUCCACGCCCUAAACGAUGUCAACUAGGUGUUGGAAGGGUUAAACCUUUUAGUGCCGUAGCUAACA